rnacentral:lncRNA from 1 species
UUUUAUUUCAUUAACUUCCCUUUAUUAGCUUUAACUGUCUUUAGUCUAUGGAGUAUUGGAAGUGUUCAAGAGGCAUUGAAUUGGAAGUUUUUUUUUGUUAUUAGCACACUAACAAUUUAUUCCACUGUUUGGCCCCUUGAAUGUUGUUGCACUAACAAAGUUAUCAUGCAAAAUGGAAGUUAGUGAAGAAUCGAAAUUGUACCACUUGUGACAAGAUUUUCCAUGAAGUGAGGUACAUAACUUCAGUGUUGGAUGCUUACUUUGCUGAGUGGUUAAUGUGAUGGCUUCAGUUUGAGGUACAUAACUUUGCUGGUUUGGCGCCCUUAGUACUUGAUUAAAUGGAUAAUAUGCUGACAACUAUUAGCACUCACUCGGCUAAUUGGAUGAUUGGUCAACUCAUUGCAAGUGAUUCAGCGUCAAUUGACGUUUGUCCUCUCUUUUGAUAUUGUUUAACGUAGUUAUAUGAUAUAACUGGAUUAUGGAUGUGGGAUUAGUUUCCAUUCAAUGUGUUCUAAUCAUAUUUCAUUUGUGUUAAAACAGUGGUCAAGUAAGAGGUGGUGGUUUUGGGAGGUCACGGGGUGCCAGAGGACGUGGUCGUGGAUUUCGAGGAGGCAACAGAGGAUGGGGAAGAGGAGGUCGUGGAGAAAAGGUAUCUGCAGAAGAUCUAGAUGCUGAUUUGAUGAAAUAUCAUACAGAAGCAAUGCAGACGAACUGAUGGGUCUGGUAGUAAUGUUUGCCUCUACAUCCAGUGCUUAGUGGAGCCACACCACACAACACCACAGACUCUCUGUGCAAGCCUUUCCUUUUCAAGUUGCAAGAAAGAAAGUACUUGUAGGAAAAUUUCAGCCGUUCCUGUAGGGGUAUUAUGCUUAUUUAAUUUUUCCCUCGCUUUGGAUUUGUGACUUAGAUGGAGUGAUGUAAUCUACUCACUCUUUAAUUUAUGUAAGAGAUGUAUGAUUAUAGUGGAAAUGCUAAUCCUUAGCCCCUACCACGACAAGGCUUUGCCGAUGGUGGCAGACGCCAGCUGAAGGUGGUGGUCUGUGUCCUGAAGUCAAUAAUGCGGGUGUCAAUAGUGAGGCAGGUUUUGUCACUCUAUUCUUUUCCCCCUGGUUUCACAAUUGCAGUCUUUGUGCAAUUAGCUUUACUCUAAGCUUCUAUCUAGUUUUAUCCAAUGUUUGUAAUAAGCUUUAAAAAGUUGACUUAGGAAACAGGUAAUGGGAUCAUUAUUGGGUGACUAAGUUGAAUCAUCUGAAUGAAUUAUAUCUUAUUUCAAAUAUAUGGGAGGAGUAAGCUGAAUGCUGGUGUUGCGGGGAUCACAGAUUGCUCAUUGUGCUGAUUCUCGCAGAGAAAGAGGCUUCAUCCUCAUUCUGUGAACAUGACGUUUGACUGAAGUGACACACUGCAUUUUUACAGCUUUACAAAGCUUGUGCCUUGUACUGUAGAAUUGCUUGGGUUUGCUGUGUUUGUUUGUUGAUUAUGUGCUAUUGAGUCUUAAAUGCCGCUUCCCGAAGUGGCUUGAAUUUUCUUCAAGUCUAG